AAUUGUAAUUGUAUUUUGAAUACGUUUUGUUUUUGGGCCCAAUAUUGUGUGCUAUGUUUUAUUCGUAAGGCCCGUACGAAAUUUUCCAGAGACCCAUUAUUUUUAGGUUUUCUUCCAGAUAGGUGGACCACUUACGAACUAGAGUCGGCGUGUCUCUUUGAAUCUUAUCACCUCCGAUAACGCUACUGUAAGGACUACAGUUUCUGUCCUCCGUCGUAUUAAAGCAACCAUUAAAGUGAUUCACCCCUACACAAUCAGAUAAAAUCAACUCUCUCAACGACGAACUUCAGCGAUGGUGAAUUCGUGCAUCCUUCUUGCCGAAUUGAAAGCUGUGUGUUGUACAAACAUUGCGGAGGUUCUGAUGCUUACGUUCUGGGAGGCAAGACAUAUCAAAAAAGGAGGCAAGCUUAUGGGAGUCGACAUGCUCCUGCUAGACGAAAAGUCUAUGCUUAUUGAAGGAUCAGUCAAUGUCAACCGUCACUUGCCGACACCUUUUCAGUCCAUAGGUGGUUUGACGUGUAACACGGAGCAACAACAAUUUCCUCCUGUCUGACUCGCCUAUCUCCGUCAGCUUUAAUAAUGGAACGUUAUUUUCAGAAGUAAUGGAGCGGACCGGUCGAAACUGAUACCAACCGAGCACUUCGGAUUCUGUAACCAUGAACAGCUUCUGUCCUUGGCAAAUACCAACAGACAGCUACCUUAUAGCUUACGAAUCUAACUACGUUAUCAACAGACCUCUACUUUUAAAGUUGGAAGACAUCCUAGGUAAGCUCAGUGCAAUCAGACGAUGCUACACAUGGGGCACAUCGGGUAUUGGGUACACUACAUAUAGAAAGGGAUGUGACUGUGUGUGUUAGUCCCUUUGAUGGCAUAGCCAAAAGUUGUGCUGGUCACUAGCAUUAAUCCCAAAAUAGUUGGAGAUAAGCUGACUAUUCCAUACUUCUAAUACAUUUAUAACUCUAUGAACAAGCAUACUAUGAAAGACUGACUUUCAAACAAUGAAAGCAUUCCAUUGACUAACAAUCCAUUAUGCAGGCCGACUAUCUCUACUUGACUCUGAGACAUCUACUGGAAAAGAAUAGUAUGAAAAGUUUGUUGGUGAUGGGACAAACCAGACUACCUCUUCAUCAAAGCUUCUUCAUGUCCACAAAAAUUGAAACUCACGGUUUCUGAGCCCAACCAAUACGUUAUCACAUCUGAGCUUCAGAUGAUUGAGUUCCUCUGUGCCACCAAAGUAACUAGAAUUCAGGCAGAGAAAGAAUGGUGUUAUAUUGGUUGCUGGAAAUGUUCCAAGAAGCUCCAGCGGGAAAUCUCUUCUUUUACAUGCAUCGUAUUUGAUAAAACCAACGAUGUGGGUGUCCUCAGGUAUCGUGUAGAGCUUUCAGUAUCAGACAAAGCGGAUGAUGCUGUCUGCCUUGCGUGGAAUGCUCAAAUCCCCACUACAGUUACCUAUCUUUUUAAAUCGUUACUACAUUUGCUUAUCAACUUUUGUUUUAGCUACUCUUUCUAUUUAAGUUAAACUCAAUGUACUGGUGGAUGUUUGAUAUUUUAACAUUUUCUUUAAGACUCAAUUUGUCUACCUAUUUGUGCUGUGGCUGGACCCAUCAUGUUAACUUUGUAGUAUCUCAGCCAGAUUUGCAGAUUAAAUCAUAUUCAUCUAAUAAAAAAAUUUAUGACAAAAAUAUGUAUAUCAUGGAUAUCAUAUUAGCGAAAAAUAAAGUGACACACGGCACGGGAUCGAUCAGCUAUGUAGACAUCCAUAAUUUCCCUGCAUAGACUGACAAUAAAAGUUUAAAAAGCUCACAAUUUAUUUCCAUAAAAAAACAUGAACACAUGUGUAUCAUUGACAUCUUAUUAUGACAUUUUGUAUGAAAAUAUCUAAAACCAGUACAUGUUAUAUGACUCCAUCCAAGCAACAAGUGUCUUUAACCAAUUGAGGUAGAUUAAGUUAAACACUCAUUAUGACUCCCUUCUGUUCCAGGACUAACAUAGUAGCUAUCUCUCACCUUCCAUUACAUUCAAGAUUUAAAAACCAUUAACGAUUGCAGGGGAGCCUAUACGGCUAUCCCAUGUUCCUUCGCCAACGUUAAAUGCAAAGGAGCUUAUACAUUCAUGCAUUGCUCUUGAUUCAUUUUUUCCCAUGAACUUUUCCUUUUGUUUUACACUUGCACUAUUGUUUCUGUUUUUCCUUUUAUCGUUUGUUUCUGUUUACACCUUGAACAUAUAUUGCAAGUUUUACUCAUUAUGCCAAAAAAAAAUUCCAACCUAAGCAAGCCAUGAGUCAGCAAGUAAAGAAACCUUAAACGGUUACACAAAUGCAUAAAAAGACUAUCGACUUUACACCAAAAAAAGACUAUCGGGGCGGUUGUCCUGUUUGCUGGCAUUUCAUCAUAUUUUUAUUUUGUUUUUUUUUCUGUGCUCUUCCUAGCGUAUAAAUUACGUCAGCCAUAGCUUAGCAGCCAAUAUCUGUUCUUUUAAUCCGAGCAGCUAAACGUGGUGACAGACCGGACAGCUAAACGUUUACAAACAAAUAACUCCAAAACAUGGCUACAUCAACAACAUAAAAAUAACACCAAAAUACAACCGCCCCGCCCGCAGGGCGGGGAUGCCACUAGUUUAGAAUAUUGUGAAUUUACUAUGCAACAAAAGUACUAUUUGACUAAUGUGAAAUGCUUUCUCGCAGGUAAGUGGAGUGGUGUUUGAUCGUAUUGAUUGGCACCAAAUUGAGGUGGGUUUGGUGAAAGUGACAUGUAUCAGUUUUAUUCUGGUGGUCAUGAUUUACUUUUCUGGGACCUAGAAGUGGAUGAAAUUGUUGUUCCACUUCGAAGACUUCUAUGAGGAUCACCCACUUACAGCACGGGUACUCAGUCCACUCACCGGGACAACAUCAUUUCCAAUGUUCACUCUUCAGCCAGCACCAUGCAUGGGUGAAGUCCCUAAGCUUUCACUCUGAGCCCCUCAUAACUCACAAAAUUUCUAUGACAUUUUUUCAUCUUUUGUUAUACAUUUUGUUGUAUUUAGUUCAGUUUGGUAUUAGAACUCAAUGAUUCUAAAGUCAAAACAAAGUUUAACUCAGUUGUAAAUUUUACAGUUAUUUUAUACAAAACCAAUUUUUUUUUUUAAAGUAUUUAAAUCAUAACCAGGUUUACUUGGGUUUUACUCA